GGCCGCCUGGCGAAAUGGCAUCGCGUCUGACUACGAUCGAAUCGUCGCGACAUCAGGAGAUUGCAGGUUCGAUCCCUGCGGUGGUCA